rnacentral:rRNA from 1 species
GACGAACGCUGGCGGCGUGCUUAACACAUGCAAGUCGAACGGCAAGGCCCUGCUUUUGUGGGGUUCUCGAGUGGCGAACGGGUGCGUAACACGUGAGUAACCUGCCCUUGUCUUUCGUAUAACUUCAGGUAACUGGGGCUACUACCGGAUCGGAUCUCCCGCUGCAUGGUGGGGGUUGGAAAUUUUCGGCGGUUGGGGAUGGAUUCGCGGCUUAUCAGCUUGUUGGUGGGGUAGUGGCUUACCCAGGCUUUGACGGGUACCCGGCCUGUGAGGGUGACCGGCCACAUUGGGACUGAGAUACGGCCCAGACGCGUACGGGAGGCAGCAGUGGGGAAUAUUGCACAGUGGGCGGAAGCCUGAGGCAGAAACGCCGCGUGCGGGAUGACGGCCUUCGGGUUGUAAACCGCAUACGCCUGUGACGAAGCGGGAGUGACGGUAAUGAAUAAAGAAGCACCGGCUAACUACGUG